CCUCGGGUUGCUGCAGUGAGGAAUAUUGCACAAUGGGGGGAACCCUGAUGCAGCAACGCCGCGUGGAGGAUGACGCAUUUCGGUGUGUAAACUCCUUUUAUAUGUCAAGAAAAUGACGGUAGCAUAUGAAUAAGCACCGGCUAACUCCGUGCCAGCAGCCGCGGUAAUACGGAGGGUGCAAGCGUUACUCGGAAUCACUGGGCGUAAAGGACACGUAGGCGGGUUGGAAAGUCAGGUGUGAAAUCCUACAGCUUAACUGUAGAACUGCACUUGAAACUUCUAAUCUAGAGUAUGGGAGGGGGAGAUGGAAUUAGUGGUGUAGGGGUAAAAUCCGUAGAUAUCACUAGGAAUACCUAAAGCGAAGGCGAUCUCCUGGAACAUUACUGACGCUAAGGCGUGAAAGCGUGGGGAGCAAACAGGAUUAGAUACCCUAGUAGUC
rnacentral:rRNA from 1 species